CAUCGUGAGGUGGAAUCUGAAGGAAGCUGGAGGCAAACACUCGACCUGAGAUACAAGAAUCCAAUUUGAGGCUAGUACAGUCGGACGAGUCUGCGAAACAAGGCGAAGUCCUAAGGCGCCAAGGGCUGUAUGGGUAUAUUGGACAGGUGCAUGGAUGAAAGUA
rnacentral:ncRNA from 1 species